rnacentral:rRNA from 1 species
GUGGGGAAUUUUGGACAAUGGGCGCAAGCCUGAUCCAGCAAUGCCGCGUGCAGGAAGAAGGCCUUCGGGUUGUAAACUGCUUUUGUACGGAACGAAACGGUCCGGGUUAAUACCCUGGGCUAAUGACGGUACCGUAAGAAUAAGCACCGGCUAACUACGUGCCAGCAGCCGCGGUAAUACGUAGGGUGCAAGCGUUAAUCGGAAUUACUGGGCGUAAAGCGUGCGCAGGCGGUUUUGUAAGACAGGCGUGAAAUCCCCGGGCUCAACCUGGGAAUUGCGCUUGUGACUGCAAGGCUGGAGUGCGGCAGAGGGGGAUGGAAUUCCGCGUGUAGCAGUGAAAUGCGUAGAUAUGCGGAGGAACACCGAUGGCGAAGGCAAUCCCCUGGGCCUGCACUGACGCUCAUGCACGAAAGCGUGGGGAGCAAACAGGAUUAGAAACCUAGUAGUCC